AGCGUACACGGUGGAUGCCCUGGCAGUCAGAGGCGAUGAAGGACGUGCUAAUCUGCGAAAAGCGCCGGCGAGGUGAUAUGAACCCUUGACCCGGCGAUGUCCGAAUGGGGAAACCCAGUGCAAUCCGUUGCACUAUCGUUAACUGAAUACAUAGGUUAACGAGGCGAACCGGGGGAACUGAAACAUCUAAGUACCCCGAGGAAAAGAAAUCAACCGAGAUUCCCCCAGUAGCGGCGAGCGAACGGGGAGCAGCCCGGAGUCUGAAUCAGCUUGUGUGUUAGUGGAACGGUCUGGAAAGUCCGACGGUACAGGGUGAUAGUCCCGUACACGAAAGCACACUUGCUGUGAACUCGAAGAGUAGGGCGGGACACGUGGUAUCCUGUCUGAAUAUGGGGGGACCAUCCUCCAAGGCUAAAUACUCCUGACUGACCGAUAGUGAACCAGUACCGUGAGGGAAAGGCGAAAAGAACCCCGGCGAGGGGAGUGAAAAAGAACCUGAAACCGUGUACGUACAAGCAGUGGGAGCNGUGACUGCGUACCUUUUGUAUAAUGGGUCAGCGACUUAUAUUCUGUAGCAAGGUUAACCGUAUAGGGGAGCCGAAGGGAAACCGAGUCUUAACUGGGCGUUAAGUUGCAGGGUAUAGACCCGAAACCCGGUGAUCUAGCCAUGGGCAGGUUGAAGGUUGGGUAACACUAACUGGAGGACCGAACCGACUAAUGUUGAAAAAUUAGCGGAUGACCUGUGGCUGGGGGUGAAAGGCCAAUCAAACCGGGAGAUAGCUGGUUCUCCCCGAAAGCUAUUUAGGUAGCGCCUCGUGAACUCAUCUUCGGGGGUAGAGCACUGUUUCGGCUAGGGGGCCAUCCCGGCUUACCAACCCGAUGCAAACUACGAAUACCGAAGAAUGUUAUCACGGGAGACACACGGCGGGUGCUAACGUCCGUCGUGAAGAGGGAAACAACCCAGACCGCCAGCUAAGGUCCCAAAGUCAUGGUUAAGUGGGAAACGAUGUGGGAAGGCACAGACAGCCAGGAUGUUGGCUUAGAAGCAGCCAUCAUUUAAAGAAAGCGUAAUAGCUCACUGGUCGAGUCGGCCUGCGCGGAAGAUGUAACGGGGCUAAACCAUGCACCGAAGCUGCGGCAGCGACGCUUAUGCGUUGUUGGGUAGGGGAGCGUUCUGUAAGCCGUUGAAGGUGUGCUGUGAGGCAUGCUGGAGGUAUCAGAAGUGCGAAUGCUGACAUAAGUAACGAUAAAGCGGGUGAAAAGCCCGCUCGCCGGAAGACCAAGGGUUCCUGUCCAACGUUAAUCGGGGCAGGGUGAGUCGACCCCUAAGGCGAGGCCGAAAGGCGUAGUCGAUGGGAAACAGGUUAAUAUUCCUGUACUUGGUGUUACUGCGAAGGGGGGACGGAGAAGGCUAUGUCAGCCGGGCGACGGUUGUCCCGGUUUAAGCAUGUAGGCGGAGGUUCCAGGUAAAUCCGGUACCUUGUUAACGCUGAGGUGUGAUGACGAGGCACUACGGUGCUGAAGUGAUAAAUGCCCUGCUUCCAGGAAAAGCCUCUAAGCAUCAGGUAACACGAAAUCGUACCCCAAACCGACACAGGUGGUCAGGUAGAGAAUACCAAGGCGCUUGAGAGAACUCGGGUGAAGGAACUAGGCAAAAUGGUGCCGUAACUUCGGGAGAAGGCACGCUGAUGUGUAGGUGAAGUCCCUGCGGACGGAGCUGAAAUCAGUCGAAGAUACCAGCUGGCUGCAACUGUUUAUUAAAAACACAGCACUGUGCAAACACGAAAGUGGACGUAUACGGUGUGACGCCUGCCCGGUGCCGGAAGGUUAAUUGAUGGGGUUAGCUGUAAGGCGAAGCUCUUGAUCGAAGCCCCGGUAAACGGCGGCCGUAACUAUAACGGUCCUAAGGUAGCGAAAUUCCUUGUCGGGUAAGUUCCGACCUGCACGAAUGGCGUAAUGAUGGCCAGGCUGUCUCCACCCGAGACUCAGUGAAAUUGAACUCGCUGUGAAGAUGCAGUGUACCCGCGGCAAGACGGAAAGACCCCGUGAACCUUUACUAUAGCUUGACACUGAACACUGGUCCUUGAUGUGUAGGAUAGGUGGGAGGCUUUGAAGCGUGGACGCCAGUCUGCGUGGAGCCGCCCUUGAAAUACCACCCUUUAAUGGCUGGUGUUCUAACGUAGACCCGUAAUCCGGGUUGCGGACAGUGUCUGGUGGGUAGUUUGACUGGGGCGGUCUCCUCCCAAAGAGUAACGGAGGAGCACGAAGGUUGGCUAAUCCUGGUCGGACAUCAGGAGGUUAGUGCAAUGGCAUAAGCCAGCUUGACUGCGAGCGUGACGGCGCGAGCAGGUGCGAAAGCAGGUCAUAGUGAUCCGGUGGUUCUGAAUGGAAGGGCCAUCGCUCAACGGAUAAAAGGUACUCCGGGGAUAACAGGCUGAUACCGCCCAAGAGUUCAUAUCGACGGCGGUGUUUGGCACCUCGAUGUCGGCUCAUCACAUCCUGGGGCUGAAGUAGGUCCCAAGGGUAUGGCUGUUCGCCAUUUAAAGUGGUACGCGAGCUGGGUUUAGAACGUCGUGAGACAGUUCGGUCCCUAUCUGCCGUGGGCGCUGGAGAAUUGAGGGGGGCUGCUCCUAGUACGAGAGGACCGGAGUGGACGCAUCACUGGUGUUCGGGUUGUCAUGCCAAUGGCACUGCCCGGUAGCUAAAUGCGGAAGAGAUAAGUGCUGAAAGCAUCUAAGCACGAAACUUGCCCCGAGAUGAGUUCU
rnacentral:rRNA from 1 species